AGUGAACGCUGGCGGUAGGCCUAACACAUGCAAGUCGAACGGCAGCACAGUAAGAGCUUGCUCUUACGGGUGGCGAGUGGCGGACGGGUGAGGAAUACAUCGGAAUCUACUUUUUCGUGGGGGAUAACGUAGGGAAACUUACGCUAAUACCGCAUACGACCUACGGGUGAAAGCAGGGGAUCUUCGGACCUUGCGCGAUUGAAUGAGCCGAUGUCGGAUUAGCUAGUUGGCGGGGGAAAGGCCCACCAAGGCGACGAUUCGUAGCUGGUCUGAGAGGAUGAUCAGCCACACUGGAACUGAGACACGGUCCAGACUCCUACGGGAGGCAGCAGUGGGGAAUAUUGGACAAUGGGCGCAAGCCUGAUCCAGCCAUACCGCGUGGGUGAAGAAGGCCUUCGGGUUGUAAAGCCCUUUUGUUGGGAAAGAAAAGCAGCAGGUUAAUACCCCGCUGUUCUGACGGUACCCAAAGAAUAAGCACCGGCUAACUUCGUG
rnacentral:rRNA from 1 species